rnacentral:lncRNA from 1 species
UAAUUAGAGAAUUGACUAAAUCUAAUCAAUUGUUGUUUUAGAUUAGGUCAAAGAUUCUCUAGAUCAAUUACAAUAGUUGUAGUUGGUCAAGUCCAUGUCUUUAACGAGAAUCAAAUGGACUUGAUUCUUGGCUAAGCGGUCUAGCACUAACUGUUAGGUUCAUCCAAUAGAAACUAAUUAAACCAGUUGGUGUCUAAGGUAAACCAGACCGGUGGUUUUUAAUUGGGAGCCCGCUUACCUGGCCAUUUCUGAUGGUGUCUAAGGCAAGCUUUGGCAGACCCUCCCACC